rnacentral:rRNA from 1 species
UACGAAGGGGGCUAGCGUUGCUCGGAAUUACUGGGCGUAAAGGGCGCGUAGGCGGAUAGUUCAGUCGGGGGUGAAAGCCCGGGGCUCAACCUCGGAACUGCCUUCGAUACUGGCUAUCUUGAGUACGGGAGAGGUGUGUGGAACUCCGAGUGUAGAGGUGAAAUUCGUAGAUAUUCGCAAGAACACCAGUGGCGAAGGCGGCUCACUGGCCCGAUACUGACGCUGAGGCACGAAAGCGUGGGGAGCAAACAGG